UUUCAAUACCUCCUUACUUCACAAUAACUAUUGCAAACACAGAGUAGCUUGAGUACGUCUCAUAAAGCGUGCAGUGACUACGAUAGGGGACACGGAGGGUGGGCACGUGCCCCUCCAUACAAUAGGGUUUAACUCCCUGCAGCAUCUUUCACCUCGCGUGCAUCCUGUCCUCCAAUACUCCGUAGAGUUAAAUGCUACCGGAGGGAGGACAAAACUGGACUUAAAAGAAGCUGGACAAAGGAGGCUGUGGCGUAAAAAGAGGUUAUGUAAAACAAUGAUAAUCAGGCAGGAGAACAGAACAAGGGGACGCACAAGUGGUCACAAGCGAAACACACUUAUCAGGAUAAUGUGCUUGGCUGACAGUGGAUGGAAACUUAAAACCACCAGGUCAAUAUCUGGCUGCAGUGAUAAGAUGAUUUGAUCAUGUUCCUCCAUGAUUCUCUCAUCUUUCCUGUGGUGCAAGAAAUUUCUUGGCACUCUACAGAUGAACAAUAUGUUUUGUCCAGAACAAUCCCAAAGCUGCCCCAAUUGGUGUUCACAGGAAGUACUGAAGAAACACGAAUAUGCAAAAGACUAAGGGUUGAAUUAUACUUUGUGCUCUGUGGGUGAGUGGGGUGAAGGAGACAUCACAGGAAGCUAAUUUCCACUACAACACAACCAUCCCCACUGCAGCAAAGUUGGAUUCAUACUAGAGCACAAGAGAGGAUUAGGAAUAAUCUGCCUAUUGCUUUUGUUGGCACAGUUCAAUCCCAAAAGGAUACAGCCUGCUAACUAUGGAACAGCAGGAAUGGACUAAGUAAAGAACUAUAGAUCCAGGCCAGGAGGGAAGUCCAUAGAUCUACAAAGUUUGGAUCAUUAUGAGAAGCCCAUUACUAGAGAGAACUGGGGUCUGCUGCAAGGACUGGUAAGCAAGGAAGACCAGUGGAAGGAUAAGGGACUAGAAGCAGUAGGGGACAAUCAAGCUGUCAGCUGGUUGAUAUGCUGAAAACGGUAUUGUUCUAUGGUAGGAUGGGAGCACACCCUGCACCUUUUUAAUACAGCAGCAAAAUGUGUCCAAUCAUCUAUACUGAGCCAUUGUACCCUGCACUAACAAGAUAGUUAUUGGAUCAUACAUACAGAGAUUCUGCUUUUCCUCUUCCCAUCCCAUCUCUCCCCAUGUCCAACCCCCUGUGCAUGGAUUAUAUGGAUUUUUUUUCCGUCCUACAAUAUGCCAAGUUGACUACAUCAUUGACGCAUGGGCCAUUCAGGCUCUGAGUGACAGCCACCCCAGGACUCCUUCCAUCUGUUGCCAAUGCAGCGUGUUGCAUUAUGCUACUGAUACUGUGUAUACCUGACAAUUAGAGUCACUUUGGGGUGAAACACUCCACUAUUUCUGUUUUGUCCUGAAGAGGUCUUCAGUUCUACUAGCAACAAUAGGAACAAUAAAAGUAAAUGGUUAUUAAGCUUGGUAGAAUUCUUUUAUUAAUCUUGAUAGAAUUCUUUAUAUAUUUAUUUAUGUAUUUAAAGUAGUUUUUUUAGAUUUUUAUCCAUUUAAAUUUUCAGAAAAUUGUGAGGGGAGGGGUCAGACAUAUUUCUAAUUACUGUAAACAUUCAGAUUCAAAAAGUUAAAGCUUUAUGAAUGCCACAUAAUUAUCUUCAGUACCAGCUUGGUUAAUGCCUGAGCUGGCUAUUUUAGCAUAGUUGUAAAUACAUGCUUUAUGUAUCAAUAAUUAUAUAUAGUACAUUUUAUACAC